rnacentral:rRNA from 1 species
UACGAAGGGGGCUAGCGUUGCUCGGAAUCACUGGGCGUAAAGGGUGCGUAGGCGGGUCUUUAAGUCAGGGGUGAAAUCCUGGAGCUCAACUCCAGAACUGCCUUUGAUACUGAAGAUCUUGAGUUCGGGAGAGGUGAGUGGAACUGCGAGUGUAGAGGUGAAAUUCGUAGAUAUUCGCAAGAACACCGGUGGCGAAAGCGGCUCUCUGGCCCGGUUCUGACGCUGAGGCGCGAAAGCGUGGGGAGCAAACAGG